AGUAUUGAAAAAAGGAGGAAUCCAGGAUGAUUCCAAAGGUUUUUGGCCUGAGUAGCUGUGUGAAUGAUGAAACCACUUACCGAGAUGGAGUAUACAAGGUAAGAAACAGAAGCAGGUGGACCCCUACCCAAAAUUUGGUUCCAACGUGGAGACUGAUGAUACCACACACAAGAAGUUUUGCCUUUCCCAGAAAGGGAGAAUGCUAGAAUAAAAUCUGUGGUGC